rnacentral:rRNA from 1 species
AGUAACACGUGGAUAACCUGCCUCAAGGCUGGGGAUAACAUUUGGAAACAGAUGCUAAUACCGAAUAAAACUUAGUAUCGCAUGAUAUCAAGUUAAAAGGCGCUACGGCGUCACCUAGAGAUGGAUCCGCGGUGCAUUAGUUAGUUGGUGGGGUAAAGGCUUACCAAGACGAUGAUGCAUAGCCGAGUUGAGAGACUGAUCGGCCACAUUGGGACUGAGACACGGCCCAAACUCCUACGGGAGGCUGCAGUAGGGAAUCUUCCACAAUGGGCGCAAGCCUGAUGGAGCAACGCCGCGUGUGUGAUGAAGGCUUUCGGGUCGUAAAGCACUGUUGUAUGGGAAGAAAUGCUAAAAUAGGGAAUGAUUUUAGUUUGACGGUACCAUACCAGAAAGGGACGGCUAAAUACGUGCCAGCAGCCGCGGUAAUACGUAUGUCCCGAGCGUUAUCCGGAUUUAUUGGGCGUAAAGCGAGCGCAGACGGUUGAUUAAGUCUGAUGUGAAAGCCCGGAGCUCAACUCCGGAAUGGCAUUGGAAACUGGUUAACUUGAGUGUUGUAGAGGUAAGUGGAACUCCAUGUGUAGCGGUGGAAUGCGUAGAUAUAUGGAAGAACACCAGUGGCGAAGGCGGCUUACUGGACAACAACUGACGUUGAGGCUCGAAAGUGUGGGUAGCAAACAGGAUUAGAUACCCUGGUAGUCCACACCGUAAACGAUGAAUACUAGGUGUUAGGAGGUUUCCGCCUCUUAGUGCCGAAGCUAACGCAUUAAGUAUUCCGCCUGGGGAGUACGACCGCAAGGUUGAAACUCAAAGGAAUUGACGGGGACCCGCACAAGCGGUGGAGCAUGUGGUUUAAUUCGAAGCAACGCGAAGAACCUUACCAGGUCUUGACAUCCUUUGAAGCUUUUAGAGAUAGAAGUGUUCUCUUCGGAGACAAAGUGACAGGUGGUGCAUGGUCGUCGUCAGCUCGUGUCGUGAGAUGUUGGGUUAAGUCCCGCAACGAGCGCAACCCUUAUUGUUAGUUGCCAGCAUUCAGUUGGGCACUCUAGCGAGACUGCCGGUGACAAACCGGAGGAAGGCGGGGACGACGUCAGAUCAUCAUGCCCCUUAUGACCUGGGCUACACACGUGCUACAAUGGCGUAUACAACGAGUUGCCAACCUGCGAAGGUGAGCUAAUCUCUUAAAGUACGUCUCAGUUCGGACUGCAGUCUGCAACUCGACUGCACGAAGUCGGAAUCGCUAGUAAUCGCGGAUCAGCACGCCGCGGUGAAUACGUUCCCGGGUCUUGUACACACCGCCCGUCACACCAUGGGAGUUUGUAAUGCCCAAAGCCGGUGGCC